AGAGCUGGGAAUGGAUCUCAUAGUUGUUCAAGGAAUUGUCAAGGACAUAAGAAUUUGACAAAGAAAUAUGUCAAGAUUAAAGACAAAGAAUGAAAUUGAUAGCAAAAGUGGUUCCAAAGACUUCUAUUUAUACAAUAAUGAAGAUUAUAAAAGUUUAUGGUACUUUCUAUAGAAGUUUUUUGAAGUCUAAAGAAGCUUCUAGAAGUCUAAAAAGGCUUCUAGAAGCUUGUAGAACUUUCUAAAAGAUUGUAGAAGAUUCUACAAGUAUCUAGAAGGUUUUAAAAAAAUUUAGAAGAUUUUAGAAGGUCCCAAAAUGUAAUAAUUUGGAAUAUGUCUAUGCUAGAAAUUGUGAUUAAGAAUGAUACUUUAUAGCUGCUAGUAAGCAUUA
rnacentral:lncRNA from 1 species